rnacentral:rRNA from 1 species
UACGGGGGGAGCAAGCGUUGUUCGGAUUUACUGGGCGUAAAGGGCGCGUAGGCGGCCACCGCAAGUCGGUUGUGAAAUCUCUGGGCUUAACCCAGAAAGGUCAACCGAUACUGCGGGGCUAGAGUGCAGAAGGGGCAACUGGAAUUCUCGGUGUAGCGGUGAAAUGCGUAGAUAUCAGGAGGAACACCGGUGGCGAAGGCGCACAUCUGGCCCGAUACUGACGCUGAGGCGCGAAAGCUAGGGAGCAAACGGG